GACGAACGCUGGCGGCGUGCUUAACACAUGCAAGUCGAACGGAAAGGCCCUGCUUUUGUGGGGUGCUCGAGUGGCGAACGGGUGAGUAACACGUGAGUAACCUGCCCUUGACUUUGGGAUAACUUCAGGAAACUGGGGCUAAUACCGGAUAGGAGCUCCUGCUGCAUGGUGGGGGUUGGAAAGUUUCGGCGGUUGGGGCUGGACUCGCGGCUUAUCAGCUUGUUGGUGGGGUAGUGGCUUACCAAGGCUUUGACGGGUAGCCGGCCUGAGAGGGUUACCGGCCACAUUGGGACUGAGAGACGGCCCAGACUCCUACGGGAGGCAGCAGUGGGGAAUAUUGCACAAUGGGCGGAAGCCUGAUGCAGCAACGCCGCGUGCGGGAUGACGGCCUUCGGGUUGUAAACCGCUUUCGCCUGUGACGAAGCGUGAGUGGCGGUAAUGGGUAAAGAAGCACCGGCUAACUACGUG
rnacentral:rRNA from 1 species